rnacentral:snoRNA from 1 species
AUCCCUUUUCAUGAGUGUGAUGAUUGGGUGUUCACUUGUAUGUGACUGUGCCUCCCUCAGAUCUGUUAAUGACCCUUGGUGAAUAUCUCACUGACU